AUGCUCGCUUCAACAGCACAUAUACUAAAAUUGGAACGAUACAGAGGAGAUUAGCAUGGCCCCCUGUGAAAGGAUGACACAAAUUCGUGAAACGUUCCAUAAACUA
ensembl:snRNA U6 U6 spliceosomal RNA